AUCCGAAUCGUUUGUGAAUCGCAUCACUGUUAGAAACCCAAGAGAAGAGAUCCUCUUCCCUUAACAUCAUCAGAGGAAAAAUCUGCUUCUUAAUCAAUUAGUUUCAGCGUUUGUACCUCUCUCUCUGGAUCCAUGUCAUCCUACAGUCUCUUCUCAAGCAAGGCGUGGUGAGACACUUUACACAAGAUUUACGACUCUGUGGUCUGUGUGUUCUGGUGUCUGCUGAGUCACCAGAAAUCUGCCAAGACACUGACACUUGCGCCUGCUCCAACAUCUGGCGCAUAAGGGCUUUAAGGUUUCCAGAACCAAGCUGCAAUAUUGUAUGGACACUUAAGUAUUUGAACUUUUGAUGUUUUGAACUUUCUCAAGGCUGUCAUUCUAGACACAAAACCUCCUCCACUGCAACAUCCUUUGACCUGGACUGACGCUAUGGUGGUCGCUUAUCACUCCCUCAGAAGCACCCUUUGUUUCGCCCCUGGGUUACCUGCUCACUUCAAGCCCUUCCACCUCUAUGCCUGUGGACACCGGGGCACGGCCUCUGGGGAGCGUGAGGGGGGGGGAAAUGCAUCAUUGUGCGUUUUUAUCCAAAACAUUAAAACAUUAGACAUUGUUGCUCAAGGCUUACCUGCGCAUGUGCUUUUUUUUUACCUGGGCUGUCUCCGCAUGUGCUUUGAUGGUUUGAUGGUUGUAAAAUUGACAGACCCAUUAAAUUAAUUAAUCAGUAAUUUAAUAGAUCAUUAAAUUAACAUAUGACUAUUUAUUCUCUGUUCUACUAAGAAUCUCGAAGUUCGUGUCACAUCCUCUUUUGAUAAUGUAGGUCGUGCUCUCGCACGCCUCCUUAAUUCUCGGGAUGACACUUGGGAUGACAUUGAUAUUGUCUCUCUAAAAAAUCGUACAUACUACUAGUAUCAGGUCUGAUCUCUUCGCUCCAGCCCUCUAGGGAUCUUUGUUGAUGGUUUUGUUUUUGUUCUAAACCCUCAGACGGUUCUUGUUUUAUAAUUUAUAAUAUUAUCACUCUGUGGUUAUUCUGUGUGUUCAAUCAAUAUCAGCCUGAUAUUCUGCAUGAGACAUACACUUUUUUUCUCUUUUUCAUUUGAUUUUUGUCAUCUUGAUUGUGGACAA